CUUAAUUUAUUGGACAGAUUAGAUCUUGAUGAUCCAAUAGAGAAAAAGGACAAAGCAUCAUUAUCGGAGCAGUUGAAGUCUAUGCCUAAGAUUUCUGUUGAUUGUGUGGUUUCUAAUCACGGGUGCAUAUGCCACAGGGCGGGCUGUUGGCAAUGCAUGCCAUUGGACGUCCUAAAGUCCCGUUCUGUUCAACAGUUAGUGGAUUUGAAGUAUCAAUUCUUUUGCAAGCGUCUUGGUCUCAGUCUACUUAGACGAUCAGGAAAUCAUGCUAAAGUUUCUGAAACGGCUGAUAUUUUUGGGAGAAGCCUUCAUUUCUUAUUCAACAGAGCUUAUACCUCCAACGGUGACUGAACUAUUUAUAAUUCAUUAUUGACACGGCAGGUCCAAGGGACUGCCUUGGCAAUUGAGCAAGCAGAGCUUCUAUACUACGCAACCUUUUUGAGAAUUUGUGCUAGUGAUACCAGUAUUGAUAGAGGAGGAAACUUGACUAUAUAUGCUGAUGCUAGCCUUGGUGCUUUCCCGUGAAGUGCCUCCGCUAUUUCAGAAGGUUUCACGAUUGCUAGCUGCGGUACUUUCAUUUUUGGCGUCGAAGGACCCGUCCCGUUUGUUGUUUGUGUGAAUGUUUUAGAAUUGGCUUCAUAUAUGCAGCAAGUUUCACAGGGUUCGCGCAUCAAUGUAAUUAGCAAGGGGGGAUCAAAGACACAGACUCCUAGGUUGUUCUUAUCAAUUAACAGAAUAAUGUGUUUCAUCCGGUGAAUCAUUGUAACAGGGUUUUCCCUCUAAUCUUCCUACCUUACAACCUUGCACCUGACUCUAUUGAUGGAUUCCCAGACUAAUCUUAUUUUCAGAAAAAUUCCUCCCAGCUUAAGAAUUAUCUGUAUAACUGUGCUCGGACAAUCUUAUGUUCCACUAUUUAAACCAUUGUUCGGUUCAUGUCCUGCUGCUUGGAUUCUUAUAUCAUGCUUAAUGUAUGGGGAAAACCCUAUUGUGUUGUUUCUACCCGUGAAGAAAAUCUUAAAAGGUAACUUCGCUUAUUGCAGGCACAGA